GAUCCUUGGCUCAGAUUGGACGCUGGCGGCAUGCCUUACACAUGCAAGUCGAACGGCAGCACGGGGGCAACCCUGGUGGCGAGUGGCGAACGGGUGAGUAAUACAUCGGAACGUGUCCUGUAGUGGGGGAUAGCCCGGCGAAAGCCGGAUUAAUACCGCAUACGAUCUACGGAAGAAAGCGGGGGAUCGCAAGACCUCGCGCUAUAGGGGCGGCCGAUGGCAGAUUAGCUAGUUGGUGGGGUAAAGGCCUACCAAGGCGACGAUCUGUAGCUGGUCUGAGAGGACGACCAGCCACACUGGGACUGAGACACGGCCCAGACUCCUACGGGAGGCAGCAGUGGGGAAUUUUGGACAAUGGGGGAAACCCUGAUCCAGCAAUGCCGCGUGUGUGAAGAAGGCCUUCGGGUUGUAAAGCACUUUUGUCCGGAAAGAAAACCUUUGGGCUAAUACCCUGAGGGGAUGACGGUACC
rnacentral:rRNA from 1 species